AAAGGAAAAAAAUAAAAUCUUUAAAAAAGAUAAAAAAAAGAAUCUUAUCAUGCCACACCUGGUAAGGGCUUGGAGCCGCCUGUCCUGCGCAGAGACCCCCUGGGCAGGGCGUCGCAGGGUGGAGCCUUAUGUAAAUAUCCUCAAGCUCUAGGUUGAGUCAUUUCUUCCACCACACCCCUUCUGCUCACUCCUUCCUCCCACAGUGAGAUGAAACCCGUCCACCGGUGGGGGAAGGGGGGGUAAGUGGCAGAAGAAGAGGGGGCUUCAAAACUGAGUCUAGGAUAUCGUGCCACCAGGGAAAUUGUCCAUUAUCAGUCUCUCUUCAACGGACCUGCUUGGAAACACAAAUAUGUCCAGAAUGUGAACUCUACGACGACAAGUUCCUGGUCUGAUCCUGGUCUCUUUGGUUCACUGCUGUCUGCCAAGGGAAGAUUAGCCCUGAGCUAACGACUGCCAAUCCUCCUCUUUUUGCUGAGGAAGACUGGCCCUGAGCUACCAUCCAUGCCCAUCUUCCUCUACUUUAUAUGUGGGAUGCCUACCGCAGCAUGGCAUGCCAAGCGGUGCCAUGUCUGCACCCAGGAUCCGAACCGGCGAACCCAGGGCCGCCGAGAAGUGGAACGUGCAAACUUAACCACUGCGCCACCGGGUCGGCCCCAUGUCUGAAGGUUUUUUAAGAGCAAAAGGGACUAUUAUGACUACCACUCCUGCUAUCUCUCACCACUUUGGCCUGGGCCUUUACUGUUUAAACAAAUAUCACAUCAUUUAAUACACAAAAUCUAUAUUGCCACAGAGAACAAAGUUGAGACAAAUAAGUGGAAGUAAGAACUUUAUUAUUAAGAAAGAAUUCUUUAUUAUUACGAAGAAUUGCCUAAUGAUCAGAGUAGUGCAAACAAGGAAACAUGUUGCUCUGUGAGACAGAACUUUUUUUCCUGGGAAGGGCUGAGCAGAGAACUGACAGUGCCAAGCAGGGAAGCAGUCAAGGCCCACUUGACUCUAGGAUUCAGACUCAAGUUUGGGGAGUGAGAUUGGCUAAUUCUUUUAGUCUAGCUAAGUAGGCUUUUAGAGAAGGAACAGAAAAUCAGUAGGAUAAAUGGGAGCAGGAGACUGAUUCCCAGAGGGGGGAACAGCUUGGACACAGGUCUUGAUGGACCAGUUGGACCGGAGGGGACAGUUUGUGCCCUUGGCAAUGUGUGACUUUAGGCAAGUCACCACACUGUUCUACACCACAGCGUUCUCCUUGGUAAAAUGAAAGGACUAACUGAAAUCAGUAGGUCUCAGUCUUUCCUCACAGGAACGUAGACCGUACUCCCACAGGCUUUGCAACCACAAGUCCUAAAGGAAACACAAGGAAGUAGUACCCGGUUUGUUUUUUUAAACAAUGAGAUUCUUGUAUGAUAACGAUGACCACAAGACAGAUAUAGGCCUUUAACUUUUAGACAGGCCUAGCACCUGUGACAAGGUGAAUUUUUCCCCCUCAUUUAAUGUUUAAAAAAAUUUUUAAUAUUUAAUUACAAACUAUUUCAAAAAUAUAGAAAAGUACAGAGAAUAAUAUAACCACUAAGAUAAAAGUGAUGUUUAAAAUUGUGCUAUAUUUACUUCUAAUCUCUUUUAAGAAAUAAAAUGUUACAAAUAUAACUAAAACCCCAUCCCUCGCCUCUUCUUUCUUCCUUUUUCUCAGAGGUAACCACUCUCCCCAAAUUGCUGUAUGUCUUUCCCAUUUAAGUUUUUGUAAUUUCACUACAUAUGUAAGUAUCUAUAAUAUGUAGUAUUUUUUGUGUUAAAUUUUUUUAAUUAAUUUUUUUUUAAUUGCAGUAACAUUGGAUUAUAACAUUAUAUAGCUUUCGG
rnacentral:lncRNA from 1 species